rnacentral:lncRNA from 1 species
GUUUUGACUUUUUCGUACACGUGUUCUCUUUCGUGAUUUCUUUGAGUAAUUCAGAAUAUUAUUACGACUACAAUGAACAUUAUUGGUCGCAUACCUAGCUACCAAUCCACAUGUUUUUACGGAGUCAUCUUUCCAGUACCAGUGGCGGAUAAAUGUGUUGGCUGGAUGCUGGAAUAGUCGGAGAUGUUGUCGUUGAACCAUAUUUUUUGCCUAACAGCCUAAAUUUCCUAGAAAAUUACUUAAAUGAGGAACAGUAAUGCCAGUGAGAAGUUACGUGGAUAUCGUGAUGGAAAACAACCUAAUAUUCCAACAUGGUGGCGCUCCAGCUCACUUCGCUCGUGAUGAGCGCAGCCACCUCAAUGCCCGGUUCCCGGAAUGGAUUGGACGAGGAGGACGUAUCGCAUUGCCUCCGCGGUCUCCAGAACUCACACCACUUGACUUUUUUUCUGGGGAUACAUUAAAAAUAAAGUGUAUGCGUCGGAUUCCCCUUCGAGCGAAGAAAUGGUUGCCCGCAUCAAACCGCAUGCGAUACUGUAACGCCAGGAAUGCUUCGCAAUGUCUGGGUUUCCAUUUACCGGAGAGCUGACUUGUGCAUCCAAGAAGGAGGUCGACGUUUUGAACCCUUUCUUUGAAAGAAUCUUCGUCAAACGUUCGCCGCCUUGCCGCGAUCUCUUUGACGGCGCCGACAAAGCGGCUACCUACGACUUAGGUCGCCGACGGUACCAGGAGAAAAUGACGAGUGAGGAGUUUAGUGUUUUAGUGUACAUCGAUAGUGUCUUAGUGUGUGUGUUGUUUUGAAUUGGGGAUGUUGACCCAAUAGUGAUUUGCCACGUUUGUUUACAUUUAAAUAAAUACAUUUUAUUGCGAAA